GAGAGACAUGAGGCUAAAAUACUGUGUGAGGUGAAAGGGACAUGCUGAAAACAACGAGAUGUUAGUUAGUUAGUUAGUUAGUUAGUUAGUUACACUUCCCGAUGUCAUCCUCUCUGAUGCUCCUUAUAACUGGAGAACUGGCCCGAGAAUCAUCACGUUUUAUGUUUUCUUCAGUAUCACAGUAAUCCACUGAUAGUUGUCAGUACAUAUAAUGAUAGAUAGCAAACAGGAACUGGAAAUAGUGAAUUCGGCAUACUUAAUUUUUCAAAAAUGUAAACAAAUAUUGUUUUUUAAAAAUCUGAAUCCAUGGCAACAUGCUUCCUGUUUCUUGUGAAAGUUUACAUUUGUUAAUUGUUCAACAGCCUAUUCAAUGUUUGAUAGCUGUAAUUAUGAGCUACAAUGAGUAGUCUACUACUACUACUACUAAUAAUAAUAAUCAUUAUCAUUGCCUACUGUAAUUCCAUCACAGGACAAUAAUACUGGUACAUUCAUGUUGAUCAAAGUGCAUUGUCUGUAAAAUAAAAAAGUAUAUUUGAGAUAAAAAGUCGUAUGAAGUGAAAAGCUUGAUAAAAAUGGGUCAUGGGGUGAUUUUAAAAAAAAAAAAAAAAAAAAAAAAUCAAAUAGCGGUAUCCUGAUUCCAUAAUUGGUCCAUAAACACUGGUAUGAUCUGUUGCUUCAGCAGCUGUAAUGCACUAAGUGGGUUAAUGUGUAAACUGAUGUUUUCCAUACUUAGCAUAAUCAGAGAUUUGUUAAAACCCAAACAUGUUACUGAAAUGAACAGAAGUUUUCACUUUA